GGCAUGGUAGUAUAGCGGUUAUUAUAUUCCAGAGUUUGAGUGAAGACCCAGGUUCGACUCCUGGCUUGUCA